GUGCUCUCUUCGGCAGCACAUACACUAAAAUUGGAACAAUACAGAGAUGAUUAGCAGGGCUCCUGCACAAGGAUGGCAUGCAAAUUCUAAAGCAUUUCAUCUUUUGU
ensembl:snRNA U6 U6 spliceosomal RNA